rnacentral:rRNA from 1 species
GACGAACCGUGCGAACGUUGUUCGGAAUCACUGGGCUUAAAGGGCGCGUAGGCGGCUUCGCAAGUCCGGGGUGAAAGCCCCCAGCUCAACUGGGGAAGUGCCUUGGAUACUGCGGGGCUCGAGGGAGGUAGGGGUGUGUGGAACUUCCGGUGGAGCGGUGAAAUGCGUUGAUAUCGGAAGGAACGCCGGUGGCGAAAGCGACGCACUGGACCUCUUCUGACGCUGAGGCGCGAAAGCCAGGGGAGCAAACGGGG